ACGGGGGGAGCAAGCGUUGUUCGGAAUCACUGGGCGUAAAGGGCGUGUAGGCGGACAAGUAAGUGGGACGUGAAAUGCCCCGGCUCACCCGGGGACCGGCGUCCCAAACUGCUUGUCUUGAGUAUGGGAGAGGAUGAGGGAAUUCCUGGUGUAGCGGUGAAAUGCGUAGAUAUCAGGAGGAACACCGGUGGCGAAGGCGCUCAUCUGGCCCAAUACUGACGCUGAGGCGCGAAAGCUAGGGGAGCAAACGGGAUUAGAUACCCCGGUAGUCCUAGCCGUAAACGGUGAUCACUAGGUGUUGGAGGCAUCGACCCCUCCAGUGCCGCAGCUAACGCAUUAAGUGAUCCGCCUGGGGAGUACGGCCGCAAGGUUG
rnacentral:rRNA from 1 species